UUGAGAGCGGCGGACGGGUGAGUAAUGCCUAGGAAUCUGCCUGGUAGUGGGGGAUAACGUUCGGAAACGGACGCUAAUACCGCAUACGUCCUACGGGAGAAAGCAGGGGACCUUCGGGCCUUGCGCUAUCAGAUGAGCCUAGGUCGGAUUAGCUAGUUGGUGAGGUAAUGGCUCACCAAGGCGACGAUCCGUAACUGGUCUGAGAGGAUGAUCAGUCACACUGGAACUGAGACACGGUCCAGACUCCUACGGGAGGCAGCAGUGGGGAAUAUUGGACAAUGGGCGAAAGCCUGAUCCAGCCAUGCCGCGUGUGUGAAGAAGGUCUUCGGAUUGUAAAGCACUUUAAGUUGGGAGGAAGGGCAGUUACCUAAUACGUGAUUGUUUUGACGUUACCGACAGAAUAAGCACCGGCUAACUCUGUGCCAGCAGCCGCGGUAAUACAGAGGGUGCAAGCGUUAAUCGGAAUUACUGGGCGUAAAGCGCGCGUAGGUGGUUUGUUAAGUUGGAUGUGAAAUCCCCGGGCUCAACCUGGGAACUGCAUUCAAAACUGACUGACUAGAGUGUGGUAGAGGGUGGUGGAAUUUCCUGUGUAGCGGUGAAAUGCGUAGAUAUAGGAAGGA
rnacentral:rRNA from 1 species